rnacentral:lncRNA from 1 species
CGGCAGGUGGCGCUCCUGCCCUGAUUAACGCUGGCAAUUAGCAAAUUAACUUAAUUAGGCGGUGAUUGGGGCCCCAUUGAGCAGCAGCUGCCCUUUCACCCCAAGCGUGGUUGGAGCAGCCACGAGGAUUCUGGAGGGAACGGAGGGGUAUUCCAAAGGCAAUCCAAAGUGAACACCGAGGAAUUUUCCUCCCUCACCUUUGGGAAGUCGCUCUGGAAUGACUCGUCCCACCCCAGACUCGCUGCUGAUCCCAUGGAAUUUCAUCACCAAAUCCCUGCCUUUCCCACCUUAAAAUCCGCCAGGGAUUGUCUGAAACGCUUUGAUGAGGUGCCCUUAAUUGGGAUUGGAAUUCUGGAGGCAUUACCUGGGAUACAGCUGAGGGGAUUGCACAAAGAGUUCGGAAAAAAUUAAUUUGGAUUAAAAUUUGACUCCUUUUUGUUGCUUUCCCGGAGUUUGGUGGAGCCGCGUGAAGAUUUCCCUUUAUUCCAAGAGAAAUUUUCCAUUAUGUUCCCCUCCUAAAAAAAGGUGGAUGUGUUUUGGGAGACUAGUCUUGAAAUUUUAAUAACUUCUAAUUUUUUCUUUUAUUUUUCUUUUUUAAUUUUAAUUCUAAACAUUUUAAACACAUCAACUAAAAAAAGAAAAGUGCAUAAGGGAAGGAAAUAACGGGAUAUCGAUGGAAAAUCAAUCCUUUUUUUAAUGGGAUGGUUUGGGAAAGGGCCC